GACGAACGCUGGCGGCGUGCUUAACACAUGCAAGUCGAACGGUGAAGGGGUCUGCUUUUGUGGGCCCUGGAUGAGUGGCGAACGGGUGAGUAACACGUGAGUAACCUGCCCCCUUCUUCUGGAUAACCGCAUGAAAGUGUGGCUAAUACGGGAUAUUCUGGGUCUGUCGCAUGAUGGGUCUGGGAAAGAUUGCGCCUUUGGGUGUUUUUGGUGGGGGAUGGGCUCGCGGCCUAUCAGCUUGUUGGUGGGGUGAUGGCCUACCAAGGCGGUGACGGGUAGCCGGCCUGAGAGGGUGGACGGUCACACUGGGACUGAGACACGGCCCAGACUCCUACGGGAGGCAGCGGUGGGGAAUAUUGCACAAUGGGCGCAAGCCUGAUGCAGCGACGCCGCGUGAGGGAUGGAGGCCUUCGGGUUGUAAACCUCUUUCGCCAGUGAAGCAGGCCUGCUCCUUGUGGGUGGGUUGACGGUAGCUGGAUAAGAAGCGCCGGCUAACUACGUG
rnacentral:rRNA from 1 species